rnacentral:misc_RNA from 1 species
GAUGAAGAACGUAGCGAAAUGCGAUACGUAAUGUGAAUUGCAGAUUUCAGUGAAUCAUCGAAUCUUUGAACGCACAUUGCGCCCGCUAGUAUUCUGGCGGGCAUGCCUGUUCGAGCGUCAUUUCAACCAUCAAGCCCUAGGCUUGCGUUGGAGCCCUGCGGCUGCCGCAGGCUCCCAAAUCCAGUGGCGGGCUCGUCGUCGUACCGAGUGCAGUAAACAUCCUCGCUCAGGGAACGUGACGGGUUCUUGCCGUGAAACCCCCCACAUAUCAAGGUUGACCUCGGAUCAGGUAGGAAUACCCGCUGAACUUAAGCAUAUCAAUAGGCGGAGGA